rnacentral:sRNA from 1 species
CCCAAGCCUACAGAGGACAUUUAUGCUUCUACAGAUGCUGAUCUUCAGGGAAAUGAAACACCACGGAGAGAAAAACUCAAGAGUAGACAUGAGUAGACAUGUCUGAGUGGUGUGCAGAACCAGCCCUACCCCUUACCUGAGCAUUGUGGGAUAGAUGGUCUUGGAAGCAUGAGACAGGAGAGAUGACUUGGCCCCUAGCCAGCUCCAGUAUGCGGGAGAAAAGCCUAGCACAUUGCUGGAGUUUCAGGCAGAAGAAAGCUGGCCCUGGGGUCAUGAGAGCAAAAGUGUUGUCCUUGACCUUCACCUGCUGUAGCACCCAUAAAGACAGGCCCUGUACCUUGCUGUGAGGAGCUGUCCCUGGAUGUGGGUGAGCUGCCCUGCCUCUUGUCUUCUGUGAGGUGUGGAGAUCUUGUGGUUCAACCUGUCUGCAAAAAUUAUGUUCUCAAGCAACAGGGAGAGAAAACGAAAUGCACAUGUCACUUUGCCAGAUGACAUGUGCCUUAGAAUAUUGACAUCACAAUGGUUCUUCAGCCUGACAACUACAGAAUCCUCAGACUUCAGUAGUUUUCUAGCCACUGUAGUCACCAGUUUGGUGUCUAGAGGCAGGAAGGCAAACGAAAAUUUCACAUUGUUUGAUAAGUUCUUCAUCCCAGGCUCUACUAAAAAGCCAAUGAAAUGCAACAGUAUUAAUACUGUAUUAACUCUGAACUUCCAGUAGUUGUUUGGAGCCACUAAACCAUAUCUGAAGAAUCCCAGGAUUAGGGUGAAGGAUGAGUGAUCGUCUGUAAAAACGCUGUCUACGGAACACAGUGGUAAAAUGCCAGGGAAUCUUCUAGACACUCCAGUGGUCCAGACCCCAGUGAUGAGAAGACAGCUUUCGAUAGACUGGAAGGAAAUCAAAAGAAGAGAUGUACAAUUACAAAAACUUUUCAAUUCCAACAUGUAAAAUAUGCUUGACAAUAAAAUAAUAUAACAUGCCAGAAAGCUACUAGCUAGCUUCUUUAAAUGUACCCCAAGGAAGGCUCCCUGACACUUUGGGAAAGGGGACUUCUAAGCAUGGGAGAAUGUGAGGAUCUAAUGUUCUAGACAAUGCAAACAGCUAUUGCAGAGGUCUUAAGCCUAGACUAAACCUGGCUACCAUAUAUAAGGCCAACUAUUUCAAAUUAGACAAAUACUUUAAAAGGACUUUGAAAAAACGAUAUUGGUAUACUACAUAAUGAUUGAAAUUCCAAGCCAGCCAUAGCUCCUUGGAGGUCACAUCGCUGCAAACACUUGCAGAAUAAACAUGCACAGAGAAUGUGAGUUUGCCUGCUCUGUUAGCCAGGAAUUAGUUUUGGCUGUCAACCAUGAAUAAAAGACCACCUCUAACUAGCUUGGCUUCCUUUCUUGCUAUCUGUCAUACUGUCAACUUGGCAUCCUGGAUGCAUAUGCUAAAAAAAAAUGGAGAUCUUAAUCACUGAAAUCCACCCGUCCAUCCACUCCCACCAGGUGUCUGUCCUUGGCCAGGGAUCCAAGAGAACUAGAGUCAUCACCGAACAUACCUCCUCCCUCCAUGAGGUGUGCACUCUUUCUUUUGUCAAAGUAAGCUGUUGGUGGCUAGCACCAUGGGAGGUAUUUUGUUGAUGAAGAAAAAUGCACAUAACUUGAUUUAAAAGUCAGCAUUAAAUGAAUGCAGAGGUCUUAACUGAGGCUAUUAGGUAGUCUAUAAAAUUUUUUUCAAGUUUGAAUCUGCCUAGAAAAAGAACUCCAGACACAAGGUUUGUUUGCCAGUUACGUUUCAAAGUCACGCACACACAUUUCUCUAUCUCACUGACAUAGGUUUAGAAGUAGAGAAAAUUGUGUUUCUAUGUAAAUCCCCUAAUUAUGCAAAUGCCUUUUAAUUAAUUAACUAAUUACUUAAAUCGUGAUCUCCAC